rnacentral:rRNA from 1 species
UACAGAGGGGGCAAGCGUUGUUCGGAAUUACUGGGCGUAAAGGGCGCGUAGGCGGCCUGUUAAGUCGAACGUGAAAUCCCUGGGCUCAACCCAGGAACUGCGUCCGAUACUGGCAGGCUUGAAUUCGGGAGAGGGAUGCGGAAUUCCAGGUGUAGCGGUGAAAUGCGUAGAUAUCUGGAGGAACACCGGUGGCGAAGGCGGCAUCCUGGACCGGUAUUGACGCUGAGGCGCGAAAGCCAGGGGAGCAAACGGG